CGGGACGUGGGAAAGCCUGGGAAUCCGCCUGCCAUUGGGCGCAGGAGAGCGUCGGUUCGAAUCCGACCGUCCCGA
rnacentral:tRNA from 1 species